rnacentral:rRNA from 1 species
UACGAAGGGGGCUAGCGUUGCUCGGAAUCACUGGGCGUAAAGCGCACGUAGGCGGCUUCUUAAGUCAGGGGUGAAAUCCUGGAGCUCAACUCCAGAACUGCCUUUGAUACUGGGAGACUUGGAGUCCGGGAGAGGUGAGUGGAACUGCGAGUGUAGAGGUGAAAUUCGUAGAUAUUCGCAAGAACACCAGUGGCGAAGGCGGCGACCUGGGCCAGAUACUGACGCUGAGGUGCGAAAGCGUGGGGAGCAAACAGG